GUAACAUAUCAAAGGGGGUGAAUACUUUUUACAGGCACUGUUGCCAUGCGGUCAUUUUAGGAACAAUAAAUGACCACUAACUAUUUUUUCUAAUAACUAGAAAGUGGAGAACAUCAACACCACCGCCUAAGCCUGGAGGAAACCCCAACAACAUUGAGCAGAACCAAAACAGCCUGUCGAAGUCGCAGGAAGACCUUCAGUACGCCAGCAUCUGGUUCCUGAGGAAGCAGAGAGAUCCUGUGUAUGAAAACUUUCAACCUGGUAAAACCGGCACAGCUGAUCUGGAGGAAGAGGGCGAGCAGAACGUAGAGUACGCUACUGUCAAGUUUGGCCAGAGAACUGAAAACCCAGAACCCGAAGAUGAUUCAAAUGCUUUAUACAGCGUAGUAAAUAAACCUAAACCGGGUAAAUAAUAUCUAUUGCUGUACAAACAUACUUGUGGUCAUCUAGUUGUUCUUUUUUCAUUAUAAUUACCUGUAGCUUUGGCAAUCAGCCUCCAGGUAAACAUUAGGAUGGACCAAAAUGCCCAGAGAAUGGACUUUCUGCUUUGAACUUCCCUUUUACACAUAUUGUCAUUAUUAUUAUUAUUAUUGUUGCUGGGAAAGAAGACGAUUCAACAAAUGUUUCAAAUGAAACAGAAAGUGUAACAUCAUAUAUAUAGAGAAGACAUCAUCUGGAACUGCAUCACAACUGGAAACAGGAAACAAAUUGUUUUGACAAAAAAAAGACCUUUCAAUUGGGAACUGGACGAAAAAAAUAUAUUAAUGAGUGAGUUCUCAAACUUCCCUAAAAGGAGGAAACGUUGGUGAGAGAUACGAGGCAAUGAGAGGAAGUUAAUGGAUUCGCCUCACCCACAGAAACAGUCUUUCUGUUGCAAACUCCUUUUUCCCCCAGAACC